UUGAGAGUACAUUUCUGGCCAGG
rnacentral:piRNA from 1 species